CCUACGGGAGGCAGCAGUGGGGAAUUUUGGACAAUGGGCGCAAGCCUGAUCCAGCAAUGCCGCGUGAGUGAAGAAGGCCUUCGGGUUGUAAAGCUCUUUUGUCAGGGAAGAAACGGCUGAGGUUAAUACCUUCGGCUAAUGACGGUACCUGAAGAAUAAGCACCGGCUAACUACGUGCCAGCAGCCGCGGUAAUACGUAGGGUGCAAGCGUUAAUCGGAAUUACUGGGCGUAAAGCGUGCGCAGGCGGUUUUGUAAGUCUGACGUGAAAUCCCCGGGCUCAACCUGGGAAUUGCGUUGGAGACUGCAAGGCUGGAGUCUGGCAGAGGGGGGUAGAAUUCCACGUGUAGCAGUGAAAUGCGUAGAGAUGUGGAGGAACACCGAUGGCGAAGGCAGCCCCCUGGGUCAAGACUGACGCUCAUGCACGAAAGCGUGGGGAGCAAACAGGAUUAGAUACCCUGGUAGUCCACGCCCUAAACGAUGUCUACUAGUUGUCGGGUCUUAAUUGACUUGGUAACGCAGCUAACGCGUGAAGUAGACCGCCUGGGGAGUACGGUCGCAAGAUUAAAACUCAAAGGAAUUGACGGCUGAGAGUGCGACGACGACGACGAGGGAGGAGG
rnacentral:rRNA from 1 species